rnacentral:rRNA from 1 species
GAACGCUAGCUACAGGCUUAACGCAUGCAAGUCGAGGGGCAGCAUGGUCUUAGCUUGCUAAGGCCGAUGGCGACCGGCGCACGGGUGAGUAACACGUAUCCAACCUGCCGUCUACUCUUGGACAGCCUUCUGAAAGGAAGAUUAAUACAAGAUGGCAUCAUGAGUCCGCAUGUUCACAUGAUUAAAGGUAUUCCGGUAGACGAUGGGGAUGCGUUCCAUUAGAUAGUAGGCGGGGUAACGGCCCACCUAGUCUUCGAUGGAUAGGGGUUCUGAGAGGAAGGUCCCCCACAUUGGAACUGAGACACGGUCCAAACUCCUACGGGAGGCAGCAGUGAGGAAUAUUGGUCAAUGGGCGCAGGCCUGAACCAGCCAAGUAGCGUGAAGGAUGGCUGCCCUAUGGGUUGUAAACUUCUUUUAUAAAGGAAUAAAGUCGGGUAUGGAUACCCGUUUGCAUGUACUUUAUGAAUAAGGAUCGGCUAACUCCGUGCCAGCAGCCGCGGUAAUACGGAGGAUCCGAGCGUUAUCCGGAUUUAUUGGGUUUAAAGGGAGCGUAGAUGGAUGUUUAAGUCAGUUGUGAAAGUUUGCGGCUCAACCGUAAAAUUGCAGUUGAUACUGGAUAUCUUGAGUGCAGUUGAGGCAGGCGGAAUUCGUGGUGUAGCGGUGAAAUGCUUAGAUAUCACGAAGAACUCCGAUUGCGAAGGCAGCCUGCUAAGCUGCAACUGACAUUGAGGCUCGAAAGUGUGGGUAUCAAACAGGAUUAGAUACCCUGGUAGUCCACACGGUAAACGAUGAAUACUCGCUGUUUGCGAUAUACGGCAAGCGGCCAAGCGAAAGCGUUAAGUAUUCCACCUGGGGAGUACGCCGGCAACGGUGAAACUCAAAGGAAUUGACGGGGGCCCGCACAAGCGGAGGAACAUGUGGUUUAAUUCGAUGAUACGCGAGGAACCUUACCCGGGCUUAAAUUGCAGAUGAAUUACGGUGAAAGCCGUAAGCCGCAAGGCAUCUGUGAAGGUGCUGCAUGGUUGUCGUCAGCUCGUGCCGUGAGGUGUCGGCUUAAGUGCCAUAACGAGCGCAACCCUUGUUGUCAGUUACUAACAGGUUCCGCUGAGGACUCUGACAAGACUGCCAUCGUAAGAUGUGAGGAAGGUGGGGAUGACGUCAAAUCAGCACGGCCCUUACGUCCGGGGCUACACACGUGUUACAAUGGGGGGUACAGAGGGCCGCUACCACGCGAGUGGAUGCCAAUCCCAAAAACCUCUCUCAGUUCGGACUGGAGUCUGCAACCCGACUCCACGAAGCUGGAUUCGCUAGUAAUCGCGCAUCAGCCACGGCGCGGUGAAUACGUUCCCGGGCCUUGUACACACCGCCCGUCAAGCCAUGGGAGCCGGGGGUACCUGAAGUGCGUAACCGCGAGGAGCGCCCUAGGGUAAAACUGGUGACUGGGGCUAA